ACUGCGGAAGGAUCAGUA
rnacentral:rRNA from 1 species